rnacentral:rRNA from 1 species
UACGUAGGAUCCAAGCGUUGUCCGGAUUUACUGGGCGUAAAGGGCGCGUAGGCGGCAUGAUAAGUCAGGCGUGAAAUUCCCGGGCUCAACCUGGGGACUGCGCUUGAGACUGUUGAGCUAGAGGAUGGAAGAGGGUCGUGGAAUUCCCAGCGUAGAGGUGAAAUUCGUAGAUAUUGGGAAGAACACCGGUGGCGAAGGCGGCGACCUGGUCCAUUACUGACGCUGAGGCGCGACAGCGUGGGGAGCAAACAGG